rnacentral:lncRNA from 1 species
GUUUUUCUUAUACUUUAUGCAAUAGGUCUUAUAUAUUUGGUUUUAUGGAAUGAUUGUAAGGUGUACAGGUCUAGCUGGCAGGUGUCAUCUAACCUUGACCUCAUUUUCAUGGUUCAGUUGUCAAAGUUAAGUUUUUGAGUUUUGGUCUUAUUUUCUAAAACUAUAUGCAAUAGGUCAACUAUAUUUGGUUUAUGGAAAUAUUUUAUGAUCUAU